GAGUUUGAUCUUGGCUCAGGAUGAACGCUGGCGGCGUGCCUAACACAUGCAAGUCGAACGGAGUCAAUUGAGGAAGUUUUCGGAUGGAAUCAGCUGACUUAGUGGCGGACGGGUGAGUAACGCGUGGGAAACCUGCCCUGUACUGGGGGAUAACACUUAGAAAUAGGUGCUAAAACCGCAUAAGCGCACGGGACCGCAUGGUCUUGUGUGAAAAACUCCGGUGGUACAGGAUGGUCCCGCGUCUGAUUAGCCAGUUGGCAGGGUAACGGCCUACCAAGGCGACGAUCAGUAGCCGGCCUGAGAGGGUGGACGGCCACAUUGGGACUGAGACACGGCCCAAACUCCUACGGGAGGCAGCAGUGGGGAAUAUUGCACAAUGGGGGAAACCCUGAUGCAGCGACGCCGCGUGAGUGAAGAAGUAUUUCGGUAUGUAAAGCUCUAUCAGCAGGGAAGAAAAUGACGGUACCUGAGUAAGAAG
rnacentral:rRNA from 1 species